UGUAAGUAGUUAAUAUAUAAAUAUUGGUUUAUUUAGAUCUAUCAGAGAACACAUUUACCAUACGAUAUGAUGACACACAGAAAGAUGCUGUUCCACCUAUCCCUUACGAUGGUGUCCCAUUUAUAAUCAGAGGGAAGAAAACAUUGGAAUGUCAUCAAGGCAAGGACAGGUCAAAGAAAAAAAAGGAAAGAGCACAGUUGCUCAGAAACAAAGAGACUGAUCAUGAUUACAGAAAGAAAAGAAAUCAUUUGCAGACAACCAAAAAGAAAAAUUGUCCAGCAAUGAUUAGAAUCAGACAUGUAAUGAAGUUUACAGACUUCAAGCUAGAAGAUAACACACGAUAUGGAAGGGAAAGACUGUCAGCUAAAAUCCACAAUGCAAUAGACAAAGAGGAUGAUGUAGCUGUGCAACAUGUUUACCUUAUCUCUGUUCCAGAUACCCACCAGAACCAUUUUACAGGAGAGAUAGGUAUGUUGAUACAACCACUUGAUGAAAGGAUAAAAAAAUAUAUAAGGAAAAUGGUGGCUGAAAGCAACAUUACUUCGUCAACUCAAAUGAAAUUGCUUCUUGAUGUUUACAUUAAAAAUGAUUUGUUUAAAGACCAACAACUACCAUCACCCAUAAAUAGUAGAUUCUGGCCAACCUUGAAAGUCAUCAGAAAUAAUAUUCUUCUUGGACUACUGGAAAUAAGAAACAGCAACGUU